GAAAAAACGCCUAUUGUAGCCCCCUUGUUGAGGGGGGCAUACAUAAGUGAGCCUCAAUAACCACCCAGUCAACGCGGGUCAAAUAUUUUACUAACAGAUUGGGGCGGGCUUUUGUGGGGUUCGCUUCUAUAGAUACUGUUGAAGGGGGCUUUUGAUUGCCCGCCUCAAUAGACACUAGUCUAAAGGGGCGGGCUUAUGUUUGUUCGCUUCAACAGGUCUUCACAAUCUACUGCGUUUUAAUUCUAUCUCCUCCUCAUUUCAUCUGUUUCAUUUCUCUCUCUUCUCUUCGCUCUCCUCUCUCCUCUCUCUCCUGGUUCAAAACUCCUCAAACCCGCUAUUUCGUCAACAAAUCGGGCUACCUCUCCUCACAGUCGUUGGCUUCCAUGGAAGCUUUUCCUCCGCCUUCCAUGGAAGAGUUACAAAGCUAGGGUAUCUCCGCGACCUCUCUCCCUCGACUCUUCAAACUCGUCGAUUUGUCUCCCUCCUCAAGCUAGGGUAUAUCGAUUCGACCGUCAUCUACUUAGCAUUCUCGAGGAAGACGGCGUCGUUCUCCAAAUGAGGUGCGGCUCGGGUUUCGGUAGGUCGUGGGUGGUCGGAUGAGGCGACGCAAGCAAGGUGAUGGCUUGCUGGUGGCUCUGAUCUUGCGGUGCUAUAUAUCCAAGUCCUGCAGCAUCUAAAGCUGAGUUAUAUGUAGUCAUGACCAGUAUGGUUUAUUUCAGGAUCACAACCAUGCUCAAUGUGGAAUUACAGAGUGUAGUAAACUGAAGGAUUUGAAGACUGCAUUUCUGACAGAUGACGCAACAACAAUUUGUUUAGAGAUUCUGGAGAAAGGAGAUCUUCAAGUUGCAGGGAAAGAAAGGGAGGCUCAAUUGUCACUUCAGUUUCGUGAUAUUGCCACCAUUGUCAUGGAAAACACCAUUAAUCCUGACACGAAACGCCCUUACUCGAUAACUAUGAUCGAACGUUUGAUGCAUGACAUCCAUUUUGCUGUUGAUCCUUAUAACAGUUCCAAAAAACAGGUUUAGCACUG